AUGGCACGCAUUGUCUUUGCCUGCCAGGGUGUUGGCUCUGCUACUUGGCCGGUUACAGCGAGUAGGAAGCUGAUAGGAUGGUAUUUCUCCUUCGUCGGCCAAGGAGUUCACACAUCUCUCGGUUCUCUGGGCAUGUCACCAUGGACAAGCAGAAGGAGGCUGGGCUCGUUGUGGAGCUUCUUGAGGCAGCAGGACGUCGGCGAGAGCAUCGCUGCUGGCAACGGCUCGAGUGACCUCUUGAGUAUUUUCUCCAUGAGCACUUGGGACGACACCAACUCCAACAUCAUGUUCUCAGCGCCCGACAGCAAGAAGGCCGAGGUGCUCAGCGACAGCGAUGUCGGCAUGGUCACCAGCUUCUGCAACAUCGACUCCCAGAUUCAGUUAGCCCUCUCGAGCUGGACAUGCCCAGCAUGGAUGACUACAUUCAGCUGCAGCAGGACUCCGCCGACUACAGAGUCCAUGCCAAGCGUGGCUGCACCACUGACCCGCAGAGCAUCGCUUGGGAGGGAAAGAACAACAAGGAUCAAUAAGAGGUUAAGGAGGUUGCAAAGACCUCAUUCCCUACAUGGACAAGGUCACAAGUUUAUUCUACCAUGGAUUCCCUCUGGCCAAUACACAUUCAGGAAAUAUGUGACCAACUUCCCCAAGGUCCCGCAUCGUCUACUCAGUUGA
rnacentral:rRNA from 1 species